rnacentral:misc_RNA from 1 species
UUCUUGGGAUAUAAAACGGAGGGCAUCAUGAACACCAGUGAUGAGGAAACUCGCCAUUUUUUCAAGCACUCUUCAGUGCAAGUGCUGCUUUGCCCUCGAUCUGGUGGAAAAGGACACAGCUUUAUGAAAAAGCAGGAAGUUGGAACAAUCUAUAGUCAUCAUCAGAAAACAGUGAUAGUGGAUGCUGAUGCAGGUCAUUAUAAAAGAAAGAUUGUAGCUUUUAUUGGAGGACUUGAUCUAUGCAUGGGCCGAUAUGACACUCCACAGCAUCCUCUUUUUAGGACAUUAGAAACAGUGCACAAAGAUGACAAUCGCAACCCUACAUUCAUGGAGCCUGGUGUUGGUUGUCCAAGACAACCAUGGCAUGAUUUGCACUGUAAAAUUGAUGGCCCAGCAGCAUAUGAUAUUCUCGCCAAUUUUGAGGAGCGUUGGUUGAAGGCUUCAAAGCCUCAUGGGAUUCAAAGACUGAAGGCAUCAUAUGAUGAUGCAUUACUCAAGUUUGAAAGAAUUCCUGAAAUAAUUGGGAUUGCAGAAGUUUCUUGCCAGGCUGAAAAUGACCCAGAGACUUGGCAUGUUCAGGUUUUCCGUUCAAUUGAUUCCACUUCUGUCAAAGGCUUCCCGGAUGAUCCAAAGGAUGCAACAAGCAGGAACCUGUUAUGCGGGAAGAAUGUACUCAUAGAUGCGAGCAUACAUACAGCAUAUAUCAAAGCAAUCCGUGCCGCCCAACAUUUCAUCUAUAUUGAAAACCAGUACUUUCUUGGAUCUUCGUAUAACUGGGAUGCUCACAAAGACAUAGGUGCAAAUAACUUAAUACCCAUGGAAAUUGCUCUUAAGAUUGCCAACAAAAUCAGAGCAAAUGAGAGGUUUUCUGCAUAUAUUCUUAUCCCAAUGUGGCCCGAAGGUGUUCCUACAGGCGCUCCUACGCAGAGGAUUCUCUUUUGGCAGCAAAAGACAAUGCAAAUGAUGUAUGAAACAAUUUACAAGGCUUUGGUGGAAGUUGGACUUGAAAACACAUAUGAGCCACAAGACUACUUGAAUUUCUUCUGCCUUGGUAAUCGUGAGGCAUUGGACAGGGAAAACAGUUUAAAUGGCCAAAGUACCAAUGCAACAAACACUGCUCAGGCGUUGAGUCGGAAAAAUAGACGCUUUCAGAUUUAUAUUCAUUCCAAAGGAAUGAUAGUGGAUGAUGAGUAUGUGAUAAUGGGAUCUGCAAAUAUCAACCAGCGUUCCAUGGAUGGUACCAGAGACACUGAGAUAGCAAUGGGUGCAUAUCAACCUCAGCAUGCCUCUGCAAGGCGCUCUCAUCCGCACGGACAGAUUUAUGGACAUAGGAUGUCAUUAUGGGCAGAGCACAUUGGAGGUAUUGAGGAAUGCUUUGAGCAACCAGAGAGUCUUGAAUGUGUAAGACGUGUAAGGUCACUCAGUGAGCUCAACUGGAGACAGUAUGCAGCUGAUAAUGUAACAGAAAUGAAGGGUCACCUCUUGAAGUAUCCAGUUGCUGUUGAUCAAACGGGCAAGGUCAAGGCUCUCCCUGGCUGCGAAACAUUCCCGGAUGUUGGUGGUAACAUACUAGGGUCGUUCAUAGCCA